AAACUCGGCAAAUUGACACCGUAACUUCGGAAGAAGGUGUGCCUUUAGUAGGUGAUCCAUUUACUUGGUGAGCCCAAUGAGGCCGCAGAGAAUCGGUGGCUGCAACUGUUUAUUAAAAACACAGCACUCUGCAAAGACGAAAGUCGACGUAUAGGGUGUGACGCCUGCCCGGUGCUGGAAGAUUAAAUGAUGGGGUGCAAGCUCUUGACUGAAGUCCCAGUAAUCGGCGGCCGUAACAAUAACGGUCCUAAGGUAGCGAAAUUCCUUGUCGGGUAAGUUCCGACCUGCACGAAUGGCGUAAUGAUGGCCACACUGUCUCCUCCAGAGACUCAGCGAAGUUGAAAUGUUUGUGAUGAUGCAAUCUCCCCGCGGAAAGACGGAAAGACCCCAUGAACCUUUACUGUAGCUUUACAUUGGACUUUGAACAGAUCUGUGUAGGAUAGGUGGGAGGCUUUGAAGCGGCGCCGCUAUGUGUCGUGGAGCCAACGUUGAAAUACCACCCUGGUGUGUUUGAGGUUCUAACCUUGGCCCGUUAUCCGGGUUGGGGACAGUGUAUGGUGGGCAGUUUGACUGGGGCGGUCUCCUCCCAAAGCGUAACGGAGGAGUUCGAAGGUACGCUAGGCACGGUCGGAAAUCGUGCUGAUAGUGCAUUGGCAUAAGCGUGCUUGACUGCGAGACUGACAAGUCGAGCAGGUACGAAAGUAGGACAAAGUGAUCCGGUGGUUCUGUAUGGAAGGGCCAUCGCUCAACGGAUAAAAGGUACUCUGGGGAUAACAGGCUGAUACCGCCCAAGAGUUCAUAUCGACGGCGGUGUUUGGCACCUCGAUGUCGGCUCAUCUCAUCCUGGGGCUGUAGCCGGUCCCAAGGGUAUGGCUGUUCGCCAUUUAAAGGGGUACGUGAGCUGGGUUUAAAACGUCGUGAGACAGUUUGGUCCCUAUCUUCCGUGGGCGCUGCAAGAUUGAAAGAGCCUGCUCCUAGUACGAGAGGACCGGAGUGGACGCACCUCUGGUGUAUCGGUUGUCACGCCAGUGGCAUUGCCGAGUAGCUAUGUGCGGAAGAGAUAACCGCUGAAAGCAUCUAAGCGGGAAACUCGUCUUAAGAUUAGUCUUGCCGGGGCCUUGAGCCCCCUGAAGAGUCGUUCGAGACCAGGACGUUGAUAGGCUGGGUGUGGAAGCGUAGUAAUACGUUAAGCUAACCAGUACUAAUUGCUCGUGAGGCUUGACCC
rnacentral:rRNA from 1 species